ensembl:miRNA pma-mir-4542 pma-mir-4542
UUUUUGGGUUGACAUGUCAUGUUCCAUGUUGCACUUCUGUGAAGAUGCUAGUCAGCAAGUGCCUUUUGGAAUGUGACAUGUUGACUCCAGUCAU